rnacentral:rRNA from 1 species
GGGGAAUAUUGCACAAUGGGCGAAAGCCUGAUGCAGCAACGCCGCGUGAGUGAUGAAGGUUUUCGAAUCGUAAAGCUCUUUGAUCAGGGAUGAUAAUGACAGUACCUGAAAAACAAGCCACGGCUAACUACGUGCCAGCAGCCGCGGUAAUACGUAGGUGGCGAGCGUUGUCCGGAAUUACUGGGCGUAAAGGAUGCGUAGGUGGAUAGUUAAGUGGGAUGUGAAAUCCCCGGGCUCAACCCGGGAACUGCAUACCAAACUGGUUAUCUAGAGUGUAGGAGAGGAAAGUAGAAUUCAUAGUGUAGCGGUGAAAUGCGUAGAUAUUAUGAGGAAUACCAGUGGCGAAGGCGACUUUCUGGACUAUAACUGACACUGAGGCAUGAAAGCGUGGGUAGCAAAC